AUGACUGUACUCAAAAGAAUCAUUUCUACAGGUCAGUCUCCGCUUUGUUUAUCCAAAACAAGGCAAACCCACCGAUUCCGAUGAGGAUGGUUAAGUCUUCAGAGCAGUGAUGGUUUUUCGGUACUUCUGGGUUUAUCCCGUGAAGUACUUGACUUCGAUGACCUGCGGUCUCUUUUUCGGAAGAAACCGACUCUGUUGGCGAACCUGAGGAAU
rnacentral:snoRNA from 1 species